rnacentral:rRNA from 1 species
AGACGUUUGAUCCCUGGACUCGAGGACGAACGGCUGCGGCGUGCUUAACACAUGCAAGUCGACGAAGGCCCUGCUUGCAGGGUACUCGAGUGGCGAACGGGUGAGUACACGUGGUGAUCUGCCCUGCACUUCGGGAUAAGCCUGGGAAACUGGGUCUAAUACCGGAUAGGAGCCAUUUUUAGUGUGAUGGUUGGAAAGUUUUUUCGGUGUAGGAUGAGCUCGCGGCCUAUCAGCUUGUUGUGGGGUAAUGGCCUACCAAGGCGGCGACGGGUAGCCGGCCUGAGAGGGUGGACGGCCACAUUGGGACUGAGAUACGGCCCAGACUCCUACGGGAGGCAGCAGUGGGGAAUAUUGCACAAUGGGCACAAGCCUGAUGCAGCGACGCCGCGUGGGGGAUGACGGCCUUCGGGUUGUAAACUCCUUUCGCUAGGGACGAAGCUUUUUGUGACGGUACCUAGAUAAGAAGCACCGGCUAACUACGUG